rnacentral:rRNA from 1 species
AACGCGAAGAACCUUACCAGGUCUUGACAUCCCGCUGACCGCUCUGGAGACAGAGCUUCCCUUCGGGGCAUCGGUGACAGGUGGUGCAUGGUUGUCGUCAGCUCGUGUCGUGAGAUGUUGGGUUAAGUCCCGCAACGAGCGCAACCCUUAUUACUAGUUGCCAGCAUUCAGUUGGGCACUCUAGUGAGACUGCCGUCGACAAGACGGAGGAAGGCGGGGAUGACGUCAAAUCAUCAUGCCCCUUAUGACCUGGGCUACACACGUGCUACAAUGGUUGGUACAACGGGAUGCUACCUCGCGAGAGGACGCCAAUCUCUUAAAACCAAUCUCAGUUCGGAUUGUAGGCUGCAACUCGCCUACAUGAAGUCGGAAUCGCUAGUAAUCGCGGAUCAGCAUGCCGCGGUGAAUACGUUCCCGGGUCUUGUACACAC